UACGUAGGGUGCAAGCGUUGUCCGGAAUUAUUGGGCGUAAAGGGCUCGUAGGCGGUCCAUCGCGUCGGGAGUGAAAAGCUGGGGCUUAACCCCAGUCCUGCUUCCGAUACGGGUGGACUAGAGGUAGGUAGGGGAGAUCGGAAUUCCUGGUGUAGCGGUGAAAUGCGCAGAUAUCAGGAGGAACACCGGUGGCGAAGGCGGAUCUCUGGGCCUUACCUGACGCUGAGACGCGAAAGCGUGGGGAGCAAACAGG
rnacentral:rRNA from 1 species